CACGUUGAAGGUAUCCAACUUCCUGAAAACAAAUUGAACAGCGAAUCAGUUAGAAUUUGAUAUGACAAGGACUGGUAAUGGGCCUGGACAACUUGGUUUAUGCAAGGAGAAAAAUAAGAAGGAAUGAAGCUAAGGCUUUAGAGAAUUCUGGAGGUGCUGACUUGGAUAACAGAAUGGUAACCAUUGCUUAUGAAGAGAAUUCUGGAAGGAUUGACGUGGAUAACAGAAUGGUGCUCUAUUCAUGUGCUGCUAAAAGCUAUAAGUAACCAACCAUGAGAGAGGGAAGGCAUGCUUUUCUUGAGUUAUUCAGUAUAGUGUUGGGCUUGAGUAAUUUCUUUUGGGAAUUCUCUGGUG
rnacentral:misc_RNA from 1 species